UACGAAGGUGGCAAGCGUUGUUCGGAAUCACUGGGCUUAAAGAGCACGUAGGCGGCCUGUCAAGUGUCUUGUGAAAUCCCUCGGCUCAACCGAGGAACUGCAUGGCAUACUGGCGGGCUUGAGGCUGGUAGGGGCGAGUGGAACUCUUGGUGGAGCGGUGGAAUGCGUAGAUAUCAAGAGGAACGCCGGAGGCGAAGGCGACUCGCUGGGCCCGUCCUGGCGCUGAGGUGCGAAAGCCAGGGGAGCAAACGGG
rnacentral:rRNA from 1 species